rnacentral:rRNA from 1 species
UAGGGAAUCUUCGGCAAUGGCCGAAAGUCUGACCGAGCAACGCCGCGUGAGUGAUGAAGGCCUUAGGGUUGUAAAGCUCUUUCACCGAUGAAGAUAAUGACGGUAGUCGGAGAAGAAGCCCCGGCUAACUUCGUGCCAGCAGCCGCGGUAAUACGAAGGGGGCUAGCGCUGUUCGGGAUUACUGGGCGUAAAGCGCACGUAGGCGGAUAUUUAAGUCAGGGGUGAAAUCCCAGAGCUCAACUCUGGAACUGCCUUUGAUACUGGGUAUCUUGAGUAUGGAAGAGGUAAGUGGAAUUGCGAGUGUAGAGGUGAAAUUCGUAGAUAUUCGCAGGAACACCAGUGGCGAAGGCGGCUUACUGGUCCAUUACUGACGCUGAGGUGCGAAAGCGUGGGGAGCAAACAG